rnacentral:rRNA from 1 species
UGUUGGUGGGGUAAUGGCCUACCAAGGCGACGACGGGUAGCCGGCCUGAGAGGGCGACCGGCCACACUGGGACUGAGACACGGCCCAGACUCCUACGGGAGGCAGCAGUGGGGAAUAUUGCACAAUGGGCGCAAGCCUGAUGCAGCGACGCCGCGUGAGGGAUGACGGCCUUCGGGUUGUAAACCUCUUUCACCAGGGACGAAGCGAAAGUGACGGUACCUGGAGAAGAAGCACCGGCCAACUACGUGCCAGCAGCCGCGGUAAUACGUAGGGUGCGAGCGUUGUCCGGAAUUACUGGGCGUAAAGAGUUCGUAGGCGGUUUGUCGCGUCGUUCGUGAAAACUUGGGGCUUAACUCCAAGCGUGCGGGCGAUACGGGCAGACUUGAGUACUACAGGGGAGGCUGGAAUUCCUGGUGUAGCGGUGAAAUGCGCAGAUAUCAGGAGGAACACCGGUGGCGAAGGCGGGUCUCUGGGUAGUAACUGACGCUGAGGAACGAAAGCGUGGGUAGCGAACAGGAUUAGAUACCCUGGUAGUCCACGCUGUAAACGGUGGGUACUAGGUGUGGGUUCCUUUUCACGGGAUCCGUGCCGUAGCUAACGCAUUAAGUACCCCGCCUGGGGAGUACGGCCGCAAGGCUAAAACUCAAAGGAAUUGACGG